GCCGAUGUGGCGGAAUGGCAGACGCAGUGGACUCAAAAUCCACCGGUGGCAACACCGUGCCGGUUCGACCCCGGCCAUCGGCA
rnacentral:tRNA from 1 species